rnacentral:rRNA from 1 species
AUUGAACGCCGGCGGUAUGCUUAAGACAUGCAAGUCGAACGGUAACAGACCUUCAGGUGCUGACGAGUGGCGGACGGGUGAGUAACACGUGGGAAUCUACCUUGUAGGUGGGGAUAAGCCAGGGAAACUUGGACUAAUACCGCAUCCGCCCCAAGGGGGAAAGGCGAAAGUCGCUAUAAGAUGAGCACGCGUCUGAUUAGCUAGUUGGAGAGGUAAAGGCUCACCAAGGCGACAGUCAGUAGCUGGUCUGAGAGGAUGGCCAGCCACAUUGGGACUGAGACACGGCCCAGACUCCUACGGGAGGCAGCAGUCGGGAAUAUUGGACAAUGGGGGCAACCCUGAUCCAGCAAUACCGCGUGUGUGAAGAAGGCCUGCGGGUUGUAAAGCACUUUUAGUAGGGAAGAUAAUGACGUUACCUACAGAAAAAGCACCGGCUAACUCCGUGCCAGCAGCCGCCGCCGUAA